rnacentral:rRNA from 1 species
AAGCUCGUAGUUGGAUUUCUGUUAAUACCUUAUAUAUAAUAUUUUUUUUUAAAUAUUAUUAUGUAAGAUUAACAUAAUUCAUAUUUUUUAAGACUGAAUUUUUAGUUUUGAUAAUAUGAAAUUUUACUUUGAGAAAAUUAGAGUGCUUAAAGCAGGCUUUUGCCUUGAAUACUCCAGCAUGGAAUAAUAAUAAAAGAUUUUUAUCUUUUUUUUAUUGGUUCUAAGAUAAAAAUAAUGAUUAAUAGGGACAGUUGGGGGCAUUUGUAUUUAACAGUCAGAGGUGAUAUUCUUAGAUUUGUUAAAGACAAACUAAUGCGAAAGCAUUUGCCAAGGAUGUUUUCAUUAAUCAAGAACGAAAGUUAGGGGAUCGAAGACGAUCAGAUACCGUCGUAGUCUUAACCAUAAACUAUGCCAACUAGAGAUUGGAGGUUGUUCCUUACUCCUUCAGCACCUUA